GAUUAAUUUCUCCUUUAUUGAUCUUCUUAAUUCUCUCUUUUAAUCCCAUCAAUGGAAAACAAAAAAUACCAUGACCAACUCAAAGCAAUUCUUCUUUCAUUGCUAUUAGGUAUAAGUUGUGGGAUUUUCCUCUUAACAAUUUCUCAAGUUCCCCCAUCAUUCCAUCUUGAUUCAGUUCAUGUCUCUUCUUUCAACAUCUCUGUCGCCGGUGGCGACCAUCCCUUCAGUACCUCUCCACCCUUCUCAGCU
rnacentral:misc_RNA from 1 species